GCGCCGCCUCCCUCCCACGUCAUGUUUUCUCUUUGACAAGCUGCCGCCGCUGCGGAAAGAACGCGGCUCAGGGCCGGGACCUGCCACCUCCGGACCCCGAGCAGCUGCCGCUCUCCGUGGACCCUGUUUUCAGAAGGAGGAAGGGGAAAGGAGACUAUCUACUGUUUUCUCUGCAUACUACUGUAGCUGGAAAGUUUUUGACUACGCAGCUGUAGAACCCCACAAUGAAACAGGCACAAAAGCGUACAGUUCUAAACUUAGUAGCAGCCUCAUGCUGCACAUGAAUAUUAGUUUAUGUCAAUUAGUUAAAAUUGUUUAAAAUUAUCACUCUUAUGUAACUUGAAAUUAAAAAAAACCUCUUACCUUUCG